UGACAACAACAUCUUCUUGCAUUCCUUUUAAUUGUGAUGAACCAACUGUCUUCUUACAUAUAGCAUUAAAGAAGAAGCAUAGUCGAACAAUUACAAGUCUUACAUGUUUCAUAAAAUACCAUGAAUUGCCACAAGUAGCAACUGUUGUAUAAGAACAUGAUGGUUUGUACAAGAAUUUCUUCCCCACUCGAUGUCGUUAAAAAAAUAAUUGAUCUCUAAUUGUAUUCACAUCUAAAGUCUUUGCAUUUACGCAUUUUAAACAAGGACAAGUCAUGACGUUCGACAUCUUUGAAUGUUUCAACCCAUUUUUAAUAAACAUCUCAACCCCAAAAGCAUAAUCAGAGGGAGGCGGUGGCUGUCGUGGAUCUGAACGGUGGAAGAACCUCCGGUCGGCGGCUUCGUGAAUCGGAGAUGAAAAGAAAAAGAGGGGUGGGGCGGCUGGAAGAUGUGAGGAAGAGGAAGAGAAAAAGAAAGAAAAAGAAAAACGGGGAAGGGACGUGCGAGAGAGAGAGAGAGGAGAGAGAAAGAAAAUCUUUGAUUUUCUUUUCUUUUUUUUU
rnacentral:lncRNA from 1 species